rnacentral:rRNA from 2 species
UUGAUUUUGGUCGCCAACGAGUGGCGGACGGGUGAGUUCCACGUAAGAAACCUGCCCAGAAGCGGGGGACAACAUUUGGAAACAGAUGCUAAUACCGCAUAACAACGUUGUUCGCAUGAACAACGCUUAAAAGAUGGCUUCUCGCUAUCACUUCUGGAUGGACCUGCGGUGCAUUAGCUUGUUGGUGGGGUAACGGCCUACCAAGGCGAUGAUGCAUAGCCGAGUUGAGAGACUGAUCGGCCACAAUGGGACUGAGACACGGCCCAUACUCCUACGGGAGGCAGCAGUAGGGAAUCUUCCACAAUGGGCGCAAGCCUGAUGGAGCAACACCGCGUGAGUGAAGAAGGGUUUCGGCUCGUAAAGCUCUGUUGUUAAAGAAGAACACGUAUGAGAGUAACUGUUCAUACGUUGACGGUAUUUAACCAGAAAGUCACGGCUAACUACGUGCCAGCAGCCGCGGUAAUACGUAGGUGGCAAGCGUUAUCCGGAUUUAUUGGGCGUAAAGAGAGUGCAGGCGGUUUUCUAAGUCUGAUGUGAAAGCCUUCGGCUUAACCGGAGAAGUGCAUCGGAAACUGGAUAACUUGAGUGCAGAAGAGGGUAGUGGAACUCCAUGUGUAGCGGUGGAAUGCGUAGAUAUAUGGAAGAACACCAGUGGCGAAGGCGGCUACCUGGUCUGCAACUGACGCUGAGACUCGAAAGCAUGGGUAGCGAACAGGAUUAGAUACCCUGGUAGUCCAUGCCGUAAACGAUGAGUGCUAGGUGUUGGAGGGUUUCCGCCCUUCAGUGCCGGAGCUAACGCAUUAAGCACUCCGCCUGGGGAGUACGACCGCAAGGUUGAAACUCAAAGGAAUUGACGGGGGCCCGCACAAGCGGUGGAGCAUGUGGUUUAAUUCGAAGCUACGCGAAGAACCUUACCAGGUCUUGACAUCUUGCGCCAACCCUAGAGAUAGGGCGUUUCCUUCGGGAACGCAAUGACAGGUGGUGCAUGGUCGUCGUCAGCUCGUGUCGUGAGAUGUUGGGUUAAGUCCCGCAAC